rnacentral:rRNA from 1 species
GGGGAAUAUUGGACAAUGGGCGCAAGCCUGAUCCAGCCAUGCCGCGUGUGUGAAGAAGGCCUUUCGGUUGUAAAGCACUUUAAGCGAGGAGGAGGCUACUUGGAUUAAUACUCUAGGAUAGUGGACGUUACUCGCAGAAUAAGCACCGGCUAACUCUGUGCCAGCAGCCGCGGUAAUACAGAGGGUGCGAGCGUUAAUCGGAUUUACUGGGCGUAAAGCGUGCGUAGGCGGCUUUUUAAGUCGGAUGUGAAAUCCCUGAGCUUAACUUAGGAAUUGCAUUCGAUACUGGGAAGCUAGAGUAUGGGAGAGGAUGGUAGAAUUCCAGGUGUAGCGGUGAAAUGCGUAGAGAUCUGGAGGAAUACCGAUGGCGAAGGCAGCCAUCUGGCCUAAUACUGACGCUGAGGUACGAAAGCAUGGGGAGCAAACAGGAUUAGAUACCCUGGUAGUCCAUGCCGUAAACGAUGUCUACUAGCCGUUGGGGCCUUUGAGGCUUUAGUGGCGCAGCUAACGCGAUAAGUAGACCGCCUGGGGAGUACGGUCGCAAGACUA